rnacentral:rRNA from 1 species
GAGUUUGAUCGUGGCUCAGAUUGAACGCUGGCGGCAGGCCUAACACAUGCAAGUCGAACGGUAACAGGAAACAGCUUGCUGUUUCGCUGACGAGUGGCGGACGGGUGAGUAAUGUCUGGGAAACUGCCUGAUGGAGGGGAUAACUACUGGAAACGGUAGCUAAUACCGCAUAACGUCGCAAGACCAAAGAGGGGGACCUUCGGGCCGUCUUGCCAUCGGAUGUGCCCAGAUGGGAUUAGCUAGUAGGUGGGGUAACGGCGUCACCUAGGCGACGAUCCCUAGCUGGUCUGAGGGGAGUGACCAGCCACACUGG